ACGAACGCUGGCGGCGUGCCCCAAACAUGCAAGUCGAGCGGGGUUCUGGAAGUGGGCGACCACGGAAGGGACCUAGCGGCGGACGGGUGAGUAACGCGUGGGUAAUCUGCCCAAGGGACCGGGAUAACACCUCGAAAGGGGUGCUAAUACCGGGUGACCCUGGUGCUCCGAGUGGGGGACCAGGGAUAGGUGGCCUCUUGACAAUGCUACUGCCCCUUGGAUGAGCCCGCGUCCCAUUAGCUAGUUGGCGGGGUAAAGGCCCACCAAGGCGACGAUGGGUAGCCG
rnacentral:rRNA from 1 species